GGCAGGGCAUACAUGGAACGCCAUAGCAGUAUAGCCUGGAAGUGCUGAGGUCAAAAUGCACUUGUAUGGGCAAUCCAAGUGUGCCAAUUAUUGUUAUUCCCUCCAUUUACGUUUUCCAAAUAAAUUAACAGUGAUAGCUUUGACCAUCACAGUCAUGCCUGCUUACUCAAGGUGCCUGCUGCUAAUCUUAGUCUAUCGUCUUUGUGAUUUAUUUUAAUACUCUGGUUCAAAAAGGUGACUCUGUGAAAGGGAGAUCCCAAAUCCAGCAACUGGUACAUGUCCUGCAAAAAAGUGUCCAACCUGCAGUAUUUAUUUAGUUAUAGGUGGAAAAGCUCCAUGUGCUGACAGGUAGGAGAGAAUGAACAGUUAUUAGUGUUCAGCCUGGUCCUAAUGAGCGACCAUACAAACAGCGCUCGCUGUCCCCACCGGAUACAGUUUGUUUCAACCAGGGUUUUAAUAGUUUUGCAAUUUUCAUUAAGUCCCAGUUUUAUUUAGUUUUGACUUCAGAUUUUCAAUUUUGUAUCAGUUUGGAUUAGUUUUUACCAAUUGUUUGCUAGUUUAGUUUAGUUUUUAUUUUUUUGAAAAUCCUUAGUUUCAGUUUAGUUUUGAUUAGUUUCAGUUAUAGUUUUAGUUGUUUGCAAUAAUUAAGUGCAACAAAAUCCCAGUUUCAUCAUAUCAGUCAUGCUCUUCUGCUCACCCUUGGGUAUGUUGCUAUUCCAGCUACCAUACCCUGCACCCUGGACAGGUCGCCUGUCUGUCGCAGGGCUAACAUGCAGAGACAGACAACUCACAUUCCCACCUAUGGGUUCUUUAAAUAAAUAAAUAAAUAAAGGCAGGUGAACAACCAAUGAUACCAGGCAACUAUAAAAUGUAUAUCUUGGCCCCAAUGAGACUAUUAACUCUUGAAGCACCGGGUGUUAGUAAUUUUGGUUCAAGUGAAUUGAUAAACUUUUUGAAGGCAAUUGACUCACACAGUUAUGUAGAUAUCUCUGUCCUGUUGUCUCGGGAUGCAUCACGCUGCCUUGCCUGGUGUUAGCUUCUGUUUCUGGGGAUGAGGGUUGAGUGUGCUCCCUUCUCAAGGUAACCUAGGUUAGCCUUCUUGUGUGAGCUUUUCAAGCGCACUUUAAGGUUUGUGGGAUUUUUUUCCCCUUGAGAAAUGUCCCUCAUAAUUUGUCUCUUUCCACUACAAGACACUUGCUUUAUCCA
ensembl:lncRNA